rnacentral:rRNA from 1 species
GACGAACGCUGGCGGCGUGCCUAAUACAUGCAAGUCGAACGCAGUGGGGACGGGUGAGUAACACGUGGGUAACCUCCCAUCAGAGGGGAUAACAGUUGGAAACAGGUGCUAAACCGAUAUGGGUGGAUGGACCCGCGGUUCAUUAGCUCGUUGGUGAGGUAACGGCUCACGAAGGCCGCGGUGCAGAGCCGACCUGAGAGGGUGAUCGGCCACACUGGGACUGAGACACGGCCCAGACUCCUACGGGAGGCAGCAGUAGGGAAUCUUGGGCAAUGGACGAAAGUCUGACCGAGCGACGCCGCGUGAGUGAAGAAGGUUUUCGGAUCGUAAAACUCUGUUGUUAGAGAAGCGGUAUCUAAACAGAAAGCCACGGCUAACUAUGUGCCAGCAGCCGCGGUAAUUC